rnacentral:rRNA from 1 species
CCUACGGGAGACAGCAGUGGGGGAUAUUGCACAAUGGGGGAAACCCUGAUGCAGCGACGCCGCGUGGGUGAAGAAGCGCCUCGGCGCGUAAAGCCCUGUCAGCAGGGAAGAAAAUGACGGUACCUGAAGAAGAAGCCCCGGCUAACUACGUGCCAGCAGCCGCGGUAAUACGUAGGGGGCAAGCGUUAUCCGGAUUUACUGGGUGUAAAGGGGGCGCAGACGGGGAUGCAAGCCAGGAGUGAAAGCCCGGGGCCCAACCCCGGGACUGCCCUUGGAACUGGGUGGCUAGAGUGCAGGAGGGGCAGGCGGAAUUCCUGGUGUAGCGGUGAAAUGCGUAGAUAUCAGGAGGAACACCGGUGGCGAAGGCGGCCUGCUGGACUGCAACUGACGUUGAGGCCCGAAAGCGUGGGGAGCAAACAGGAUUAGAUACCCUAGUAGUC